CCCUUCUCUCCCUCCUUCCCUCCCUCUCCAGAAAAUCGUUUGUGGAUUGAAGCACAGUGGCUUGGCCACUGUCGGUGUGCGGAGGAAAGCGAUUGGGUUGGGAGACAUUGGCCCAACUCUGGCUGUUGUACGUGUUUCUCGGUGUCCAAACAGGAAUCAGCUGGAUUGGUUUGGUCCUGAAGUAGUGAAGUUGUUUGAAGAUAGGCGGUGGUGAAACGUGAGAAUUUGUGGAUUACCUCCAAACUUCCAAAAGAGAAGAGAGAAGGCAACAAAUUCAUGUGUAAUAACUUAAUGAUAAAUAAAAUUUGUAGUGGAAUAUAGGUCAAAACUUGAUCCAAAGUUUUAUAGUAACUUAAUCUAUGAAAAUGUUUUGUUGCUGUGUUGAGAAUGCUCAACAAAAAAAAUCCCAUGUAUUCUUUGUGAUGUUGAAUAUUGUGACUCGAUGAGAAGAAUGUAAUCUAUUAAGGAAAUAUGCUGUUUUUGUAACUCUAUUAAGGGAUCAGUGCAUUUCUGAGAUAAUCUUGCCUGUUAAAAUACA